GACAGAGGGUGCAAACGUUGCCCGGAAUUACUGGGCGUAAAGCGCGUGUAGGUGGUCACGCAAGUCAGGUGUGAAAGCCCAGGGCUCAACCCUGGAAGUGCACAUGAUACUACGUGGCUGGAGUACUGAAGAGGAGAGCGGAAUUCCCGGUGUAGAGGUGAAAUUCGUAGAUAUCGGGAGGAACACCAGUGGCGAAGGCGGCUCUCUGGGCAGAUACUGACACUGAGACGCGAAAGCGUGGGUAGCAAACAGG
rnacentral:rRNA from 1 species